rnacentral:lncRNA from 1 species
UUUCGUCCAACAUGUUGCAGCCAUAUAUAUAGGCAAAACUAAACCUAGUCUAAUAAGGAAACAACUUAAAAACAAGCCCUAAUAGGCCAAACAAGGCCCUUACUUUAAAAAUCCGAAAAUAACAAGCCCUUUAAACUAAUGGGCUGCGAAAAAUAACAAUACUGAAAUAAAUAAAAGAAGUCUUCAAAAUAAAUAAAAUCUUC